rnacentral:rRNA from 1 species
AUACGUAGGGGGCGAGCGUUGUCCGGAAUGAUUGGGCGUAAAGUGCUCGUAGGCGGCGCGGUAAGUCUGGAGUGAAAGUCCUGCUUUCAAGGUGGGAAUUGCUUUGGAUACUGCCGCGCUUGAGUGCAGGAGAGGUUAUCGGAAUUCCCGGUGCAGCGGUGAAAUGCGUAGAGAUCGGGAGGAACACCAGUGGCGAAGGCGGGUAACUGGACUGCAACUGACGCUGAGGCGCGAAAGUGUGGGGAGCAAACAGGAUUAGAUACCCUGGUAGUCCACACUGUAAACGAUGAAUGCUAGGUGUAAGAGGUAUCGACCCCUUUUGUGCCGGAGUCAACACAAUAAGCAUUCCGCCUGGGGAGUACGGCCGCAAGGUUGAAACUCAAAUGAAUUGACGGGG